rnacentral:rRNA from 1 species
AUGGACAUUGGCCAAGUUACUCAAGAAAUGCAGAGAAAAAAGGUUAAAAGAAAUAUCAAGAUAACCAGAUGCUGUUGUGAGGCUAUGAUCGGAUUGAAGAGGCAAGAUGACGGCAAGUAUGAGGUCGCCCAGUUUGUUCAACCACACACACACCAACUUAUCUCACCAAGUAAGAGACAUCUCAUCCGGUCAAAUAGAGAGGUAACUAGUGAUUUGAGAAACAAACUAUCUACAUGCAGUAAGGCAUUGCUUGGCACAUCAAAAACAUUUCGCUUGGUUAGUAUUGAGAAAGGUGGGCAAGGAAACAUAGCUUGCACGAAACGUGACUUACAGAACUAUGACCGUGAUUUUAAGGCAGCAAUUAAGGGAGCAGAUGGACAACUUAUAGUAGACAUAAUGGAAAAUAAAAGAAAGGCCAAUCCAGCAUUCUACUUUGAUUACUAG